ACUCCUACGGGAGGCAGCAGUGGGGAAUAUUGCACAAUGGGCGCAAGCCUGAUGCAGCCAUGCCGCGUGUGUGAAGAAGGCCUUCGGGUUGUAAAGCACUUUCAGUUGUGAGGAAGGUGGUGUCGUUAAUAGCGGCAUCAUUUGACGUUAGCAACAGAAGAAGCACCGGCUAACUACGUGCCAGCAGCCGCGGUAAUACGUAGGGCGCAAGCGUUAUCCGGAAUUAUUGGGCGUAAAGAGCUCGUAGGCGGUUUGUCGCGUCUGCUGUGAAAUCCCGAGGCUCAACCUCGGGUCUGCAGUGGGUACGGGCAGACUAGAGUGCGGUA
rnacentral:rRNA from 1 species